rnacentral:rRNA from 1 species
GACGAACGCUGGCGGCGUGCUUAACACAUGCAAGUCGAACGGUAAGGCCCUUCGGGGUACACGAGUGGCGAACGGGUGAGUAACACGUGGGUGAUCUGCCCUGCACUUCGGGAUAAGCCUGGGAAACUGGGUCUAAUACCGGAUAGGACCACUGCCUGCAUGGGUGGUGGUGGAAAGCUUUUGCGGUGUGGGAUGGGCCCGCGGGCUAUCAGCUUGUUGGUGGGGUGAUGGCCUACCCAGGCGACGACGGGUAGCCGGCCUGAGAGGGUGACCGGCCACACUGGGACUGAGAUACGGCCCAGACUCCUACGGGAGGCAGCAGUGGGGAAUAUUGCACAAUGGGCGCAAGCCUGAUGCAGCGACGCCGCGUGAGGGAUGACGGCCUUCGGGUUGUAAACCUCUUUCAGCACCGACGAAGCGCAAGCGACGGUAGGUGCAGAAGAAGGACCGGCCAACUACGUGCCAGCAGCCGCCGCCGUAA